AGAGUUUGAUCCUGGCUCAGAGCGAACGCUGGCGGCAGGCCUAACACAUGCAGGUCGAACGGAUCCUUCGGGAUUAGUGGCGGACGGGUGAGUAACACGUGGGAACGUGCCCUUUGGUUCGGAACAACUCAGGGAAACUUGAGCUAAUACCGGAUGUGCCCUUCGGGGGAAAGAUUUAUCGCCAUUGGAGCGGCCCGCGUCUGAUCAGCUAGUUGGUGGGGUAAAGGCCCACCAAGGCGACGAUCAGUAGCUGGUCUGAGAGGAUGAUCAGCCACAUUGGGACUGAGACACGGCCCAAACUCCUACGGGAGGCAGCAGUGGGGAAUCUUGCGCAAUGGGCGAAAGCCUGACGCAGCCAUGCCGCGUGAAUGAUGAAGGUCUUAGGAUUGUAAAAUUCUUUCACCGGGGACGAUAAUGACGGUACCCGGAGAAGAAGCCCCGGCUAACUUCGUGCCAGCAGCCGCGGUAAUACGAAGGGGGCUAGCGUUGCUCGGAAUUACUGGGCGUAAAGGGAGCGUAGGCGGACUGUUAGGUUAGAGGUGAAAGCCCAGGGCUCAACCUUGGAAUUGCCUUUGAUACUGGCAGUCUUGAGUACGGAAGAGGUAUGUGGAACUCCGAGUGUAGAGGUGAAAUUCGUAGAUAUUCGGAAGAACACCAGUGGCGAAGGCGACAUACUGGUCCGUUACUGACGCUGAGGCUCGAAAGCGUGGGGAGCAAACAGGAUUAGAUACCCUGGUAGUCCACGCCGUAAACGAUGAGUGCUAGUUGUCGGCAUGCAU
rnacentral:rRNA from 1 species